ACCUACGGGGGGCAGCAGUGGGGAAUAUUGGACAAUGGGGGCAACCCUGAUCCAGCGAUGCCGCGUGAGUGAAGAAGGCCUUCGGGUUGUAAAGCUCUUUUGUUGGGGAAGAAAAGGUGGCCUCUAACAUAGGUCAUUGAUGACGGUACCCAAAGAAUAAGCACCGGCUAACUACGUGCCAGCAGCCGCGGUAAUACGUAGGGUGCGAGCGUUAAUCGGAAUUACUGGGCGUAAAGGGUGCGCAGGCGGUUAAAUAAGUCAGAUGUGAAAUACCUGGGCUAAACCUGGGAGGUGCAUUUGAGACUGUUUGGCUAGAGUGUAUCAGAGGGGGGUAGAAUUCCACGUGUAGCAGUGAAAUGCGUAGAGAUGUGGAGGAACACCGAUGGCGAAGGCAGCCUCCUGGGAUAACACUGACGCUCAGGCACGAAAGCGUGGGGAGCAAACAGGAUUAGAUACCCUGGU
rnacentral:rRNA from 1 species